GACCUCCGUCGAAACCCAGACGUCCUCCGGUCUCCGCCUAGGUAUCUCACUAUCUCUCUCUCCCUCUCCGAGCCCCGCUCCUCCUCUUCUUCUCUUCUGAGUUUCUGAAUUCUAAUACCAACUAAUCUGUACAAUUGGGUUCAAUACUUGGAUUUCCAUUUAAUCUUGUGGGAAAUACUUCGAUUUUGAAUGGGUAUAGUUGACUAGGUUGAUUCGGCCGAGUUGGGAAGAUAGUCUUCUAUGGUUGAAUUUUUUUUGCAGACUUCAUGUUGUUUCAGUUUUGAUGCAAUAAAUUGUAGUUGUCAUUGUAGUUCCCUUGAUCAGUGGUUACAAGAAUAACAGAGGAGCUAUACU
rnacentral:lncRNA from 1 species